ACCCAAGCCAAGGACCACCCACAAGAGUUCUUCCUAGCUUCCUGCUGUGUGAGAGGGGAGUUGUGAGGGGAAUGGCUUCCGCACAGGCUUCGAAACCUGGGCUCGCAGCACAGCCCAAGGCAGGGGAGAGUGCACACAGGGCCCAGGGGUCUAAGCAGGCCUCCAAAAAGGCUGACCAAAAGCCUCGAGAGCCUAAGAAGAAGGGUAAGAGUGGCAAAACAGCAGCUAAGAAUUAGCGGCAGCAACUAGAAAGUUGGGACGUCCCAUGGGGACUAGAGUUACGUGAUACUUGUAUUUCUUUUCCUUUUAUGCAUGUUUUCUUUUUCUUUUCUUUUCUUUUCUUUUCUUUUUUUUUUGUUCCUUACUACUAUAGUGAUGUUUAUGCCCUGAACUCUUAAGGCUGAAUGCUUGUUGGAUGUUGGACCUGGCCUAGUGAAAUAAAGGUAUUUUAUAAUUACUAAAAAA